GACGAACGCUGGCGGCGUGCUUAACACAUGCAAGUCGAACGGUGAAGCGCCUUCCUUUUUGGUGGGUGUGGAGGAGUGGCGGAGGGGUGAGUAACACGUGAGUAACCUGCUCACUUCUUCUGGAUAACGGCAUGAAAGAGUGGCUAAUACGGGAUAUUUUGGGUCUGUUGCAUGAUGGGUGUGGGAAAGAUUUUGUUUCGGUUGGGGAUGGGCUCGCGGCGUAUUAGCUUGUUGGUGGGGUGAUGGCCUACCAAGGCGGUGAGGGGUAGCCGGCCUGAGGGGAUCGACCACACCACAAGUGCGGAACCGUGCACAAGACUCCUACGGGAGGCAGCAGGGGGGAUUACGGCAUGGGGGGAGGAAGGCUGGUGCAACGACGCGUGGGUAGUGAAGGUCUCCUGCGCGUUGUAAACCGCUAUCGCCAGUGAAGCAAGCCUGCCUCGUCUGUGCAUGUGUUGACGGUAGCUAGACAAAAAGCGACGGCUAACUACGUG
rnacentral:rRNA from 1 species